rnacentral:rRNA from 1 species
GAUGAACGCUGGCGGCGUGCUUAACACAUGCAAGUCGAACGGAAAGGCCCAAGCUUGCUUGGGUACUCGAGUGGCGAACGGGUGAGUAACACGUGGGUGAUCUGCCCUGCACUUCGGGAUAAGCCUGGGAAACUGGGUCUAAUACCGGAUAGGACCACUUCUUGGAUGUUGUGGUGGAAAGUUUUUUCGGUGUGGGAUGAGCUCGCGGCCUAUCAGCUUGUUGGUGGGGUAAUGGCCUACCAAGGCGUCGACGGGUAGCCGGCCUGAGAGGGUGUACGGCCACUUUGGGACUGAGAUACGGCCCAGACUCCUACGGGAGGCAGCAGUGGGGAAUAUUGCACAAUGGGCGCAAGCCUGAUGCAGCGACGCCGCGUGGGGGAUGACGGCCUUCGGGUUGUAAACUCCUUUCGCUAGGGACGAAGCGUUUUUGUGACGGUACCUGGAGAAGAAGCACCGGCUAACUACGUG